CUACGGGCGGCAGCAGUGGGGAAUAUUGGGCAAUGGGCGCAAGCCUGACCCAGCAACGCCGCGUGAGGGAAGAAGGUUUUCGGAUUGUAAACCUCUGUCCUUGGGGACGAAGAAGUGACGGUACCCAAGGAGGAAGCUCCGGCUAACUACGUGGCCAGCAGCCGCGGUAAUACGUAGGGAGCGAGCGUUGUCCGGAAUUACUGGGCGGAAAGGGUGCGUAGGCGGCAUAUUAAGUCAGGUGUGAAAUACCCGGGCUCAACCCGGGGGGUGCAUUUGGAACUGAUACGCUUGAGUGUGAGAGAGGAAAGUGGAAUUCCUAGUGUAGCGGUGAAAUGCGUAGAUAUUAGGAGGAACACCAGUGGCGAAGGCGACUUUCUGGCUCAUAACUGACGCUGAGGCACGAAAGCGUGGGGAGCAAACAGGAUUAGAUACCCCCGUAGUC
rnacentral:rRNA from 1 species